GAACGCACCUUGCGCUCCUUGGUUAUUCCUUGGAGCAUGCCUGUUUGAGUAUCAUGAGCAAAUCUCAACGUCGAUUCCUUUUGUUAAUUCAAUUGGUUUUUUGCUUUGGACUUGGAGGCCUUGCAGAUUUCACGUCUGCUCCUCAUAAAUGCAUUAGCUGGAUCUCGGUAUUAUGCUUUGGUUCCACUCGGCGUGAUAAUUAUCACUCGCUGAGGACACUGUUAAAAAGGUGGCCAGGAAAAUGCUGAUUGAACCGCUUCUAAUUACCCUUAAGUUUGAUCUCAAAUCAGGUAGGACUACCCGCUGAACUUAAG
rnacentral:misc_RNA from 1 species